rnacentral:tRNA from 1 species
GAGGGUAUAGCUCAGUGGUAGAGCUCCUGCUUAGUAUGCACUGGGUCCUGGGUUCAAACCCCAUAACCGCC